AGUUUGAUCCUGGCUCAGAUUGAACGCUGGCGGCAUGCUUUACACAUGCAAGUCGAACGGUAACAGGGAGCUUGCUCCGCUGACGAGUGGCGAACGGGUGAGUAAUAUAUCGGAACGUACCCAAGAGUGGGGGAUAACGUAGCGAAAGUUACGCUAAUACCGCAUACGAUCCAAGGAUGAAAGCAGGGGACCGCAAGGCCUUGUGCUCCUGGAGCGGCCGAUAUCUGAUUAGCUAGUUGGUAGGGUAAAGGCCUACCAAGGCAUCGAUCAGUAGCUGGUCUGAGAGGACGACCAGCCACACUGGAACUGAGACACGGUCCAGACUCCUACGGGAGGCAGCAGUGGGGAAUUUUGGACAAUGGGGGCAACCCUGAUCCAGCAAUGCCGCGUGAGUGAAGAAGGCCUUCGGGUUGUAAAGCUCUUUUGUCAGGGAAGAAACGGAUGUGGCUAAUAUCCAUGUCUAAUGACGGUACCUGAAGAAUAAGCACCGGCUAACUACGUGCCAGCAGCCGCGGUAAUACGUAGGGUGCAAGCGUUAAUCGGAAUUACUGGGCGUAAAGCGUGCGCAGGCGGUUUUGUAAGUCUGUCGUGAAAUCCCCGGGCUCAACCUGAGAAUGGCGAUGGAGACUGCAAGGCUGGAAUCUGGCAG
rnacentral:rRNA from 1 species